AAAAUUUGCUAUAAAAUUGCGCUUCGUUGGCUGCCUCCCAAUUUAGAGCGGCAAAUCCCGUCGCUUCUCCUCUUGCUUCGAGUUGAGGUCUCCAUCAGUGGGCUUCUUUGCCCUACCAAUCCUCGGAAACGAAAGAGUCGGAGCCUCUUCUGCGUCCCAUGACCUAAAUCAUUGCCUUCAAGACCCAUGAGAAGAAGCUCCACUUUGAUGAACUGAGGAGAAGAGGAUCGAUUCUGGCACUGUGAUGCUGUGGCUUUUCGAUAUGGGUAAUCUAAAUGAGGCCAUUGGGUUAAUGCGUGAAUUAAAAAGUUCCAGCUUUGAUUGCCAAGUCCAUUGCUCUGUGUCCAAAUCUAUAGCUUUUUUGAGAUCAAAGCUUAUAUUCAUGUUGGUUUGAUAUGGUAGAAGGUGGAAAGCUGUUUGAUGAGUUUGCUUCGGAAGGGAGACUGUUUCUGUGAAAUCUAUCGUUGAUAGAAGGUAGGAGAAUCUCACUGUUGCCAAUGCGUUCGUGUACAUGUAUGCAAAAUGUGGGAGUAUGCCAGGAGCUUGGAAAGUGUUUGUUGAAAUGGGAAGAAGGAUAUCAUCUCAUUCAAUACAUUGAUUGGAGGUUAUUCAGAAAGUGAUAUGCCCAGUGAAGCACACAUGACGUUUGUUUAAAUGCAGCUUUGAUUGAGACCUGAUUUGGUGACCAUUUUGUGCAUCCUUCCUGCUGUGGCCAUGCCUAAGUAUUACAGUCAGGUAAGUUAGUAAAUGGUUAUGUUAGCAGAUACGUAUGUGUUAGAUCGUGAUAUCGGUGUCUUUUCCUGGGUGGAAGGUGCGCUCAACCCAGUCCAUGGUCCGAUUCUCAGCACGGCGUUGGUCCUGGACGAUUGAUGAUGAAGACCCUCAAGGCUGAACCACCUUCAUUCCUACAAUAGGACCUUCCUUGGUACAAGGUUCCACGUUCAAGUUAGGAAAUCUGAGUAUGUGUAGUUGUGAGAUAGAAGAACCCAUGCGCUAUAGCAACAGGCCCUUUUGUAGUCGGGGUCCCUGACUUGCAGUUAGGGAAAAUAUUCUCCCGAUCAUAAAAUAUUUGAGUAUUUCCAUUCCGAUUUUUGAUGUGGUUUAUCAUUGUCUUUUCUACCAAGCUGAUGUCCACUCGAGAAGUUCUGAUUGAGGACCAAUAUGUCCUCUAUCAGUAUGUCAAAUGCUGUCCAUUAUUGAUUGUGGUGAAUGUUGUAUGAUAGGAUCAACAAAAUUUUAUAUUGCUCGCAUGAAAUCUAUGUGACAUAUAGCCACGUUAUUGCUUGCAUGAGUGUUGUGUAUUUGAUGGGGUCAGCAAAAGUAUAUAUUGCUUGCACCACCUUAGUUCUGUAUUCUGAUCAUUCCACACAGUUCUUUGACUCAAAGCAUUCUCCUGGCUGUCAAUCCGCUGACAUGUGGGCAAACCCCUCCAUGAUACCAACCAUCCAGUUACUUGGAUGGUGGUGACACGAAAGCUGUAAUUUCUGCUUGUGUUUCUACAGCUCAAGCAAUUUGGAUUUGAAUCUGAAGUAGGUCUUAAUGUUGAAUCUUUUGAUAUUCUUUAAUACUAGACACUUGGGGAACUCGAAAUAGACAUUUAAGUUGGCAUUCUUCUACUUAUCAAGCUCUCAGGAUGUUAUUGCUCGGAAAUGCUUAGAGAUUCUUCUGAUACUGCCAUCAGAGAUGCAGAUUGCCAUGAUCCCUUAUAGUGUCUGGAUUUGCUGAAUCCGAAUCACAAAGAAGUGCUAUGUAAAAGAUUUGGUGGCCCAAGAAAUGUAUCAACACUUGUGAGGAACAAUCCAAUUGUGUUCCCUCAUGAUUGAAGGCUUAGAUAGAUGGAAGGAAUGGAUCAUCAAAUCGGUGUUUGGCCCAUGCAACUGCCAUCUUGUCUUGAAGAAAAAGGUUAAUCUGCUACUUUGAUGAUGCUGGUAAAUUUGGUGAGAGUAUAGCUCCAUCAAGUGCAAUAGGAAACAUGAGACUAGAUGUUCCAAAGCUGGACUUUUCAUUUUUGAAGUCUCUAAUUGUUUCCAGGAAAAAGAAGCUUGUAACAGAUUUACAUGUAGAAUUGGACACCUUUGUGGGUUUUUGUUUAUCAAAGUGAACAAUUUGUAUCAACACUUCUUUUUUCUUAAAUAUAUCCUGUGUUUUAGUGCUAA